UACGUAGGGUGCAAGCGUUGUCCGGAAUUAUUGGGCGUAAAGAGCUCGUAGGCGGUUUGUUGCGUCGGCUGUGAAAUCCCGAGGCUCAACCUCGGGUCUGCAGUCGAUACGAGCAAACUAGAGUGUUGCAGGGGAGACUGGAAUUCCUGGUGUAGCGGUGGAAUGCGCAGAUAUCAGGAGGAACACCGGUGGCGAAGGCGGGUCUCUGGGCCGUAACUGACGCUGAGGAGCGAAAGCGUGGGGAGCGAACAGG
rnacentral:rRNA from 1 species